AACUUGCCCUAUCUCCCCAAAGGGAUUCAGGAUGGCUUCCAGCACUGUAAAAUGUAAUGUCAAACAUUCAGUGCCAAAAAUAACAUAUAUCAAAUCAGAAACAAACAAUAAAAAUUAUAAAAAUAACAGCUUAUAAUGACAUAACAUCAUACCUUCUACACAUUUACAACAUAUUAAAUUCACUAAAACACUUAAAAAUCAUCAAUUUCCCUUUUCCCAGGACUGACAGACCUGCGUCUGUACUUGCUGUCAGGUCCUGGGAUUUUCUUCCCCACUUUUUAAACCCACAUUUUGACACUGUCUGGUAGAGCUCUCAAUCUCAAAGGUGAUAUAAGAUUCCUCAGCAUACAAAAAAUACCUGCUUUAGUCAAUAGAUGGCACUCUAUCCCAAAGGAACUUGUUUUCGAAAAUGGCUCUUACAGAAGAAACUUUAACUGAGCACAAUUGAGCACAACUAACACUUCAUAAAUUAAUAGAAACUGAAAAGAACAACUUCAGGAGAAUACCAACUAUGGGCGAUAAUUUUAAAUCAUGAUUAAAAGAUGGCAAGGCACAAAACAAGGAAAAGAAGUGAGCAGCAUGAAGGCAUGACUGAGCUAUUGCUACCCAAAUAAAAGCAUAACAAGAUCUAUAUAAGUACCACCUAAAGAGAGGAGGAAAUGCCACUAUUUUCUUAUAGCUAAAUAUAAACUUUCAUGAAGAUAUGGAAAGUUGUGCAAUUUAUUCCUAUAAAUUGAUUCUAUUCUGCUAUAAUCUUUUUUUCUCAUGGCUAUGACCUGUUGAAAUAAAGACAGUAAUUCCUUUAUCUCUGUAAA